CUGCUGCCUUCCGUAGGAGUUUGGGCCGUGUCUCAGUCCCAAUGUGGCCGGUCGCCCUCUCAGGUCGGCUACUGAUCGUCGGCUUGGUAGGCUUCUACCCCACCAACUACCUAAUCAGACGCGGGCCCAUCUUACACCACCUCAGUUUUUACCACUGCAUCAUGCAAUGCUGUGGUCUUAUGCGGUAUUAGCAAUCAUUUCUAAUUGUUAUCCCCCUGUGUAAGGCAGGUUGCCCACGCGUUACUCACCGUCCCG
rnacentral:rRNA from 1 species